rnacentral:misc_RNA from 1 species
AAAGCACUGGAAUGUGCGAACUUACUCACAUUUUUGACCGACUAAAUCGUAUUACCUCGGGAGUCUUUGAGACAUCUUACAGCGUGCAAGCCAUUUUAGAUGGAAGCUGCUUCAGUAAGAGCGAGACGCCCACCUGUUUAACAUUAACAGCGGGUUCAAUACUUGAGUAAGCAACGGCAUUCAAUCAGUGUUUUU